AACAGCUUUAUCAGCCAAAAUCACGCCUUGGUAUCCCUCUGAUCCGGACCGGGCGGCUUUUUUUUCUUUUUGGCUUCCUCUCCAUUCCCAAAGUUGAGUUUUUCAUCGAGUCAUCCUUGCCUCGGGUUGCGAAGCCAGCUUGCCAUCGCCUUCGGCUCCAGUUGCAGUCAGCUUCCGUAAAUUAUCGGUACGAGUAUGGUCCAGCGAUAGGGGUGUGAUUGACUACUUCUUAUAGGUAGUCCGUGUCUCCGCCGGCCAUCAACUGUACUCCCGCAAACUUAUCUGCAUAUCUAAUUCCUUACUUCCUUCUUGAAUGAAGUCUGAGUUCAAAAAUGGGAAAGAAUUGGAAUAGCUGAAUAUCAGUCCUGCACUUUUGCCUGUGGUACGAUGCUCAUGCGAGUUAGCUCGCCAAAAAUAAGUUAAUAAAGAUAGUGAAAAUGAAUGAACGGACCCAAAAACUGCUUUAAAUCUCAUCAUACACAUAGCACGGCAUAAUCCAGAUCGAAAUGAACUCCCAUAAUACACUCUUUGCAUGCAG
rnacentral:sRNA from 2 species